ACUCGGCCCAUACUGGCACGUCAGUUCCAACGUGUUCGUGGCCCAGACCGAGCAGAGAGGAAAUCGGCCGGGCCCGUCCCCUUCCUCCGCCGCCCCUGCCGCACUGCCCGGCGGGAUGCUGCCGCUCCGGUGGACCAUAUCCCCACUUCUGAUGGAUUCCGGUCGUCCCUGCGCUCCUGUGGCAGGGCGCCGCUCUUCGGUACUCCAAUCAACUACAGAUUUGUGGAUCCUCCUACCAAUCAACUACUCGUGCAAGGAUUCUGAGCGCUGGGCGGCGAGGCGAGGAGCUUCAGCCUACUUAGCUCAGAGCAAUAAUCCAGAGGGGACGCACCAUUGGCACGGUGUUCAUUCCUGGUCUAAUCUGAUGCAUAUGCUCAUGCUGCGUCAGCCAGAUCACCUGUAACACUGGACCCUGGAGGGGCACUGGGGGCAGCAACGCGAAGGCUAUAAUCUGUGGGGUCGAGAUCACUAUGGAACAGGAUCAUGGGGGCCGGCGAGCUGAGCUUGGUCAGCGGCAGCGGCAGCUGCGUCGAAGCAGCUUGAGGAGUGGAGGUCAACAAUGGCGGCAACUCUUGGGUGGUGGGCAGAAGGCCUCGUGCAUUAUUUUUGUGGUUGGGAUGUUGGCACUUGGCACGUCAUAUUCAACCAAUCUAUCUCGAUUACAAGUUGUCAUGUAAUCCAAGCUUUUUGGAAGUGAAAGAUGUGGAGGAAUGGAGCUCAUCAAGGCCACAAAAGAAAGCAUGUUGUAGAUCACCAUUCAGCAGCCCGUUCGUUGGGGAUAAUAGUCUCUCUUCGCGACUAUUUUUAUCUGGAGCAUGCUUACACUCAAACAUAAAUUAUGUCAUGGAUGCUGUAUAAAAAAACUCAUUGGGAACGGUGGAAUGAAAUUCAGCAACAACUGA